CGCACAUUGCGCCCUUUGGUAUUCCUUAGGGCAUGCCUGUUCGAGCGUCAUUGAAACCCUCAAGCCUAGCUUGGUGUUGGGCGUUUGUCCUGCUUUGUCAGGACUCGCCUCGAAAAUAUUGGCAGUCUCCUAUGGCUAGAAGCGCAGUACAAUCGCGCUACCUUGGCCUCUGGUGUACUCCCACAAGUACCAACCUUUUGUUUGACCUCGGAUCAGGUAGGGAUACCCGCUGAACUUAA
rnacentral:misc_RNA from 1 species